UGGGUCAUUUCCAGUUGUUGAUUCCCGCAUUCUCUCCUUUGGGACAUCAUCUGACCUUAUCAGAGGGCCCAGGCCAGGGGACAGUGGGGGCCAAGCUACCUCCCGGCUCCCUGCUCAGUGCUCUCUAGUGGGACCCGCCCCUCCGCCGGCGCCUGAGACCUAGUUUUGGCCAAUCUUUCCUAGGGACACCUGUCCUUGAGCUGUCAUCCUCCAGUCGGCAUUAGUAGCCUAGAGGGCAGAAGACGACGGUUGGAGGAACUGGGUGACCUGGCUCUGGUCAGAGUGCAGGCUCUGGGCCAGGCUGCGGGGGUUUGAAUCUGGUCUGUCACUAAGCAGCUGUGUGACCUCACGCAGGCACAAGCCACUCGCUGGGAGCAAGCAGCAGCUGGGGUCCCUGGACCACUGCCACAGCACGGGGGACCCCCAGGUGAGCAAGGUGAGACUCAGAGAAGCUAAGCAACUUGCCCAAGAUCACACAGUGAGAGAGGCCUGGAUCGGAAUCAAAGGACCCACGAUGCACAGAGGAUUCCAGAGAGCAGGUAAAACCAGCAUCGCCCCCAUCUGGCUCCAUCUGGCAUCGAGUGUGUGAUGGAUGGAAAGGGCCCUGCAGGGUAAGCGUCCCAAAUGCCCCUUCCCUGGUAUUCAUGAGCCCCACCCUCGGGCCUGCCUGGUCCAUGCAGAGGUCCCCAGUGCUCCCAAACAGCGGCUCCUGCUGGCAGGUAGUGAGUUCUCCAUCGCGCGGGGGUAUUCCGGAUGAGAGGACAUGGCUGGGAGGGCUGAGCCCCAGCCUGGAGUGGGACUAGGUGAUCCCCCACUUCUCUCCCUGGGCCUCCCCAAGGGGGCCUCCUCCCAGCCAGGGGGACGGUCAGCGGUGCCCCCCGGGUGUCUCCUGCACACAGUCUCUGGAGAAAGUGGGGACUGGACAGACGGUCCAGAAGGAAGAGCCGAUGCUGCCGCUGUUCAGGUCCGGAAGCCGAGUGGCCUGCCCCAACAGGCAGUCUGUCUGUCUGUCAGGGGCCGGGGCCAGGGCCAGGGGCCUGGGUGAGGGCGGGGGCUGGGCUGUGGGACGCUGGAGUCCAGGAGGGCCCUCGGCUGUGCUCAGGGCCUUCCUCGUCCUCGUCCGCAGCUGCCCUGUGCCCAGCUCCUCCGGCUCCAGCUGGACCACCCCAAGCCAGCAAAGGCCGAGGAGCACAUUGGCUCACGUAAGGGACCCAAAUAAAUCUGGAUUUCAAGAGACAAUGGGCCCCACAGGCCUGCAAGUCCUCCUACCAGGGACCCACCAGGCAGACACAUACCGCCAAACUGGCCGGGCUCUGGGGGUAGGGCGCGGGCCAACUCUGGACCUGGAAAGAGGACUUGACCCAAGGCCAGCACAGUGGGGCCUGGUCCUGAUGGGGUGGUCAGGCCCUCUGGCAUUACUGAGAGGCCCCAGUGUCCCCCAGGGAACCCCAAGUACCCAUGAGCUCUUUUGAGGCCUGACGUUCCCUUUUCUUUGCCUCUGGAGGAGGGUGGGGGGCAUGGUGUGCACGUUCAGAUUUUGUAAAGAGACAAUGUCAGCUGGACACAGACAGACAGACAGAGGGGAGGCUGAGCAAGCUGGGGGGUGGAGGCGCUAGGACCAUGGGGGAUGUGUCGAGGGGCCCCAGCCUCAGGCUGGCUCCCAGGGGUGGUGCUGGGGAGUGAUGGGCUGGGGCAGGGGUGCAUAGGGGGUCUUGGAGGGCACCAGAGCCAGGCGCCUACCUAGCAGAGGCCUGGUCGUGUCCUGUCGGCGCUGCCCUGAGUGGGUGGGCUGGGAGAGGCCAGCGUGCAGAGCUCUCCGGCAGGGGGGCAGCUGCAGGGAUGGGGACUUCCGUCUCCCUUCAGGGCCCCCUCGGAGGCUCAGCCUGUUUUGUCUCCCAGCCCUUGGGUUUCACGGGAGUGAUUCCUUGGCAAAGCUGCCAGCCUGCACGGUGCCCUUUUAAUUAGUUUCUCCCAAAUUCCCUCUGUCACUCAGUUAUUAAUAUUUAUCUGGAGCACACCUGGUAUGAUGAGAUCCGGGGGCCCCGGGGGCAUGGAGGGCCGGCUGCCCCUUCCCCUUCAUCUCCCGGCCCAGUGCCCCCACCCGUCCUGCCCCCUCCACUCCCCGCGUCCCCUCCCUCCGGAAGCCCCCAGCCCCUCUCCUGUUUUGGGUGCCCCUCUCCUCCACCCCCCUCCCCGUAUCCCUCCCACCCCCCACUUGAGCGGGAAGCUGUGCAAGGUGGCUCGGAGGUGUGUGCCCAGGGUAGGGCGGGCUCCCCACUCCGAGCAGCGGCCCGCUGGGUGUGAAAUUAAAAGAAACGGCAACAAAGCCCCUUCUGCAGAAAACAAGAUGGAUCUGAGUGGCCCGGACUUCUUCCUGCUGAAAUGGGAAUUAGAGUGGAGGAUUAUUUCUGAGGACGCGGGGUCUCACUGUGCCCACACGCGCCUCCUUUUGCCCUGGGCCCCAGUGAGGCUUGCAGCACGGAGACCUGGCCUCCUGAGGCCUCAUGUGGGCAGGGGGCUCCCAGAGGCCCGUGGGCCAGGGCGGGCAUGUGAGCACCAGCCUGCUCCCCUCCCUCCUGGGAGACCAAUUCCUGGUGAGAAGCCCGGGCUUUGCAGAAACGCGACUGUUGCUGAAUCCCACAGCCAGGCCUGCGUCUCCAAUUCAUCAGACAGCUGAGAACAGGAGAGGAGCAGGCUGGGGCAGCCCACCUCCAGCCUGGCCCAAGGCCACCUGGUGUCCCAGUGCCUGGGGAGCAGGGCACGCCAAGCAGGCCCCAGUUCAAGCUCUGGAACUUGCUUUCUAGAAAGGAGAACACCCUAUGGGGGUUCCAGUCCUGUCUCUUAGGUCCCCAUCCAGGGCCCUGGGGGUGGAAGCCACAGGAGUCCCUACGUGUCACCAGGACACUUUAUGGUGGGGUGUCCCUUCUAACUGAAACUACUGUUAACGAGAUUCUGGGGACGCAGCAGCCUACUCGACAAGCAGGCCCUGCUGUUCUGCGUGAGUUUCAGGCCUGUGAUGGGGGUGGGGGUCCAUGCAGGGACCCAGAAGGCCAGGCCAGUUUGGUGAACCAGUAGCAGCCUUUCAGAGCCCAGGGGCAUCCCACCUUGUUGGGGACCCUGGGACCUCUUUGGGGCUGCCUUGGCAGCUGCACAACCAGGGAAGGGCAGUGGUCCUAUUGGUAGGACUGUCAAAUCUGCAGAAUCCUUGAGCCAUGGUGCUGGGGAGGGGCCAUGCAGAAGAGCCGGAGGGGCGGGGGAAGCUGCAGGCUGGAGGUGAGGGGGACCAAUGCCCAGCCUUGCUGCACUGUCUCACCUGCGGGCACCUGAAGGAACGCCUGUGGGAGCUGCUCCUCUUCCCACCUGCACUAACCUGAGUCCAGUUCCUGGGUCCCCCUGCCCCCGCCCCGAAAGACCCUGCCCCCAUCAACAGGGGGUGCAUUCCUGGCAAAAUGUGGAAGAGCCACGUUCUGUGUCUGUCUCCCUGCGAAGCAAGCAGCUCACCUCGUUGGAGACACCGUCACCCCUACCUCCCUGUGUACAGGACACCCCCCCGCCCCGGGCCACUCUGUUGCGGGCUGGCUGACUCUGAGCCCUGAAAGUUCACUUCCAUUUAUCUGCCUGGCUCUGGCAGUCCUGUGGCCCAGUUGAGCAGUAAGUUCAAGAGCUGGGAGGAACCGCCAGCUAAACCAUCAUUUGACAGAACCUGGGACGGAUCGGACAGCGGAGGGCGCUGGGCUUCGGAGAAAGGCAGAACAUGCCUGCAAGUAGGACCAACCUGCUGUCUGGAAGGAAACUGAGUCCUCACGUCAGAAAGCAGCCUUCCAGGUGAGCUGCUGGGAAAAGCCCGAACUCCCCCACUCGUUCCCGCCUCCUGCGCGUGUGGCCCUGGACAGAGGGAGGAGCCCCAGGAGGGACAAAGGGUGAAAUCCACAGCAAGAGGCUACACAGAGUUCUAGAAGGCAGAGUGGAUGGGACACCACGAGGUCAGCGACUCGAGUGGCUCUCCCAGCCCCGUGGCAGCACCUCAUGUGACCACGAGCGCCCCUGCCCAGCUCCCCCGACCAGGAGAGUGAACAGCUCCUUGGCUUGCUCUUCAUUAAUUCAUAAACUCUUGCUAACGUUUAUCAUCCUUCAGUCAUUAUUUGAACAGGGCCCCAUCCUUUACCCUUUUGAGGUCUUUUUAGUCCGUUUGAGUAUCCCUCUCCGAGUCUUCCACCCAUGCCCUGUAGCUGGUGUCCAGACAGACAUUGGCCACGGUCCUCCGGCAAGCCUGAUCCAAAGCUGGGACCUCCCACUCCAGGACCUCCAGCCCUUGCCCAUCGCUGGACUCUACUGUUAAAAAAUGCCAGACCAUUGUCCUCGCUCAUCAACCGGGAGCCACUAGGACCCUGGGUGUCUUUCUCUAUUGUGCUUAUUCACAGCCAAGGAAUCCACGAACUUUAUCAGCUGCCAUUGUGUCUGGCCUUGGGGAAGCCUUCGUGUUUUGUUGAACUGCACGUGUCUCUCGUUGGUUGGGGGGGGUUUGAACCUGCUUCUGCCUCCUGAGGGGCUGCCAUACCCAGCCCGUGGCACCAUGCCCCUGUUGCACCAUCCUAAUUUCAGCAUCCAAACAUCGACUUAGAAAAUCAUUGUCAUUCUCUCUAACGACUCGAAAUAUAAAGUACCCUCUUUUGUUCAGUGUCAAACUGCUGAUGGAAGAGCUGGUGGCAUCUGACCUGUCAAGACAGAUGUAUUAUCAUAUACGGAGACUGAAUGGCAUAUUUUCAAACCAUUUUGUCUAAAUUACACAGUCCUCGCCCCGGGAGCCCGAUCUGGUUACUCUCCUGAGAGGCAGAGAGCGGAGGGUGGGGGAGGGAAUGAGUUAAGGAGGAGCAAAGAUUUCUGGUGUCCCAAUGCCAAAAUCUGAAUGUGGCCCGUGAGGCCACUGGCAGGUGUCCUCUGGUCUGCAGAGGGCGUGAAGGCGGCCAGGCGGGUCUGGACCGUCCCCGGAUGGCCGUGCCCACGGGAAGCCAGCUGGCACCCUGUUCAGCAAUGAGGUCACUCCUGUGGCCUGGUAACCCUAGAGAUUCAGGCUCCAUUCUCAUGCCCUUUGCCUGACAAGGUUUCCCAGGCCUCAUCAGGCCCUGGUGCUCCUUUAUCUCCAGGAGGGUUAUGCCGAGGGGGAGGGGGCUGCAGCCAGCCUCCCAUGGGUUCUUUUCUGAAAGCUGGUGCUCCUUGAGAUGAGGGAAGUGGCAUGAUUGAAGCAGAGGCGAGGGGGCUGGCUUGAGGGCCCCCCUGCUCUGUGUGUGGGGGCGGGGGGCACUAUCUGGCAGCUUAUCCUCUGUGGGACGGGAUGGGGCAGAGAUGCAGGUGUGCCCAGGUGCCAGUGCCCCAGCCAACAAAGGAGCCGGACCUCAUGGGCUUCCUGGGGUUUGGACAGAGGGCGUCUGGGUGGCAACAACAGCCAGGAGCAGAGCGCGCCCUGUCCGUCUGCACGGGACCCUCCCACGCUGCUCCCUGCACACCCUCAGGUGGGCGGGCACAGAGGGAGAGACCCCUGUGAUAACGGAGACUGAGCUGGGUCGAUGAGGCUCGUAAUGGGCUUCAACUUCAUUGGAAGAACAUAAGGUUGGGGCCAGCCCAGUGGCGCAGUGGUUAAGUGUGCACGUUCCAUUUCUUGGUGGACCGGGGUUCGC